ACGGAGGGUGCAAGCGUUGUUCGGAAUUAUUGGGCGUAAAGCGCGCGUAGGCGGACUGUUAAGUCUGAUGUGAAAUCCCUCGGCUCAACCGAGGAACUGCAUUGGAUACUGGCAGCCUUGAGUCUCGGAGAGGAAAGCGGAAUUCCCAGUGUAGAGGUGAAAUUCGUAGAUAUUGGGAGGAACACCAGCGGCGAAGGCGGCUUUCUGGACGAUGACUGACGCUGAGGUGCGAAAGCAUGGGUAGCAAACAGG
rnacentral:rRNA from 1 species